UACGUAGGGUGCAAGCGUUGUCCGGAAUUAUUGGGCGUAAAGGGCUCGUAGGCGGUCCAUCACGUCGGGAGUGAAAAGCUGGGGCUUAACCCCAGUCCUGCUUCCGAUACGGGUGGACUAGAGGUAGGCAGGGGAGAACGGAAUUCCUGGUGUAGCGGUGAAAUGCGUAGAGAUCCGGAGGAAUACCGGUGGCGAAGGCGGCAUCCUGGACCGGCAUUGACGCUGAGGAGCGAAAGCUAGGGGAGCAAACGGG
rnacentral:rRNA from 1 species